CCUACGGGCGGCAACAGUGAGGAAUAUUGGUCAAUGGGCGGGAGCCUGAACCAGCCAAGCCGCGUGCAGGAAGAAGGUACAGCGUAUCGUAAACCUCUUUUGUCAGGGAACAACGGCGGGGACUAGUCCCCGGAUGAGGGUACCUGAAGAAAAAGCAUCGGCUAACUCCGUGCCAGCAGCCGCGGUAAUACGGAGGAUGCGAGCGUUAUCCGGAUUUAUUGGGUUUAAAGGGUGCGCAGGCGGCCUGUUAAGCCAGCUGGGAAAGCCCCGGGCUCAACCCCGGCCGGGCGGAUGAAACUGGCGGGCUGGAGUAGGAGAGAAGUAGGCGGAAUGCGCGGUGUAGCGGUGAAAUGCUUAGAUAUCGCGAAGAACCCCGAUUGCGAAGGCAGCGUGCUGGAUCGAAACUGACGCUGAGGCACGAAAGCGCGGGUAUCGAACAGGAUUAGAUACCCUUGUAGUC
rnacentral:rRNA from 1 species